CAGCAGCCACGGUAAUACGGAGGGUGCAAGCGUUAAUCGGAAUUACUGGGCGUAAAGCGCACGCAGGCGGUCUGACAAGUCAGAUGUGAAAUCCCCGGGCUUAACCUGGGAACUGCAUUUGAAACUGUCAGGCUGGAGUCUUGUAGAGGGGGGUAGAAUUCCAGGUGUAGCGGUGAAAUGCGUAGAGAUCUGGAGGAAUACCGGUGGCGAAGGCGGCCCCCUGGACAAAGACUGACGCUCAGGUGCGAAAGCGUGGGGAGCAAACAGGAUUAGAUACCCCAGUAGUCCCUGUCUCUUAUAA
rnacentral:rRNA from 1 species